GGGCUCUGGGAGGCCUCGUUGGUAUUCUGGGCACAGCCGAAGCCCUGACCUCCCCGCGGAACAGGGGCGCCCGGGAGCGCGGCACGGCCGCCGCCCCCGGGCGGUCCCCCGGGCUGUGGGGCCGUAGGCGCCUUGCUCCCCCCACCCAUCCCCUCCUCUCCAGGUCCCCCGUACCCCCUCCCCCGCCCUGAUCCGGCGGCGAAGGGGUGGGCAGGGAAACGCGCUCUCUGGGACAGGUGCCAACUCCGAGACAAAAGACAUAAAAUAGGCGGCAACGGGGGAAGCGCGGCCGGCGCGCUCGGGCGGGGACGGAGGCGCCGCGGGGGCCGCAUCCUCGGUGCCGACCGGGGAAAGUUUGGGAAGUCGCCGCGGCGGCUUCGCAGCGGCGGGGGACACACGGGCCAGGCCGCCCUCCGCGCCGCGCUUGCCCUCUCCGCGCCGCUGCUGAAUAAUUCAUGGCGCGGUCGCCGGCCAUUAGCAUGCACCGGGCGCGCGGUGCGUCUGUGCCCAGCCGCCGCCGCCGCAUUCGGCGCCCUGGCCGCGGUAGAUGAGCGGCCGCGCGGAGGCCGGGCCCGCGCUGUCCCCGCGCUCGCCCUCCGGUCUGCCUGCCCGAAGGCUCCCAUUGUGCCCCGGGCCCGCGCCGCUCGGCCGUCCUGUGACUGCCCGCACCCCGCAGCGCGCCCGACGGCCGGGCGCUGGAAGUUCGGACCCCGGGCACCCGCCCGCCCGCCCUGGGAUGCACGUGAACUUGGAGAAAGUCGCGGGGCGCGCCAGCGCGGACCUCCGCGGCAGGGCGUGGGCGCCCCUGGCCCGGCGCGCUUUCGUUUUCGUCCCGGACAAAGGUCCUUCGCGUUGCAGGUCACGGACGUGGAGACCGUGUACUGCGGGGUACUCUUCGGGGAAGUCCAGUUGUUCAAGACAGGGAAGCCGGAGCCGGGAGGAGAGGAGCAGCGCGGUCCGAUGCGCGGUGCGGGACCAGGGAAGUGGGGCCUGGCCGUGUGCUUCGCCCGCGCGGUCCCGGAGCUGUCCGGCCCUGCGAAGAGUUGCGGGAGAUGGCAUCGCUUUGCUCUCUGCCCUUCCGACGGGUGAAGGAGAGAAUCAUCCGGAACCCAGGACUCAGACCGAGGGCCUGUGCAGCCGUGGGCACGACAGCGCAGCGCUGGCCGCGUCCGGGCGGGCGCGUCCCUCCGGCAAGGGCAGAGCAGCCGACCAGCGCGCCCCAGUCUCGGUCGGGUUCAAGUCGACUCUUGGGGACGGUAAGUGGAUUUCUCACUUUCGCUACUUAGUGAAUAUUUAAAUAUUAAUGAAGGGAUUUCUAAGAAGAUCCCUUCUGUAGAGCAGGCCUUCCACAGACGAGGGGACACGGGAAGGAGGUUGUUCUUGAAACUGAAGCCGCACCAGCAGCUUUCAAGAACUCCAGGGCCGGCAUGAAAAUUCUGCAACUUGGAAUUUGUGAAAUACAGCUUCUGAUCUCAGGUGUGCAGGCCGUUUGCCAGGGAGAAUUAUGUUGAACACGUAAAACAGCGUCCGCAGGCAUCUUAAAAAGAACAGAAAGAAAAGAGCAAGCAUCUGUUUUUAGAUUAGAUGUUUGGAAGGGUUAUUUGGAAGCUACAGUCAUUUCUUGAAAAAUUGAAAUCUUUCAUUCAUUUCCUAAACCAGCAGCGACUUUUUUUUCCUGCUGGUCAGGCGUUCAUGAAGAGCUGGUUUAGGGCGGCCCUGGGUCAGGCAUUGGCCGAAUGGGCCGGUGGAGUGAAAGGCCUGUGUGUGGAAGCUGGUGUUUAUGGUGGCAUAAAACGAAAAGCAACUCAUAACUUUUCAUAAUAAAUCCCCCUUUAUAGGUGGCUCACACACAGGCCCAGCCUGCAGCCCUGGGGAAUUUGUGGGGAGCAGAGAGGGGCAGGGGUGAAGGAAUGCAUGUUUGCCAUAAUUACAGGGUUUUAAAGUAACACUGAAAUUAAUUUCUUCAAAGUUGGGCUUUAGAGGCCAGGGCAGUCUCUGUAGGCCAGCACCACAUUCGUUUUAUUUUGGGUCGUUGGUUCUAACUAUUUGGGAUUUUUAAAAUGCAGGUUUGUACUUGCAUGUACCUAUCCCCUUAAAAUGAAACCCGUAAGUUGGGGGGGGGGGUUAAGCCCCCUUUUAAAUAUGAUUGUAUCACAGGUGUGAUUUCCCCUUUACUCACCUCCAUCUGAUUGAUGUGGUUUGGAUAACCUAGCUGGAUGCUCUGACCACAAAAUAAUGGGGGGGGGCCCUGUUUCCAGACACCCCAGAGCUGUGAGCUGGCACUUGGAGGCCAUGUUUCCGGGAACGUGGACAGAGGCCUGAGUGGCCCAGGCCUGCCUCACGCCUCCCUUUCCCUCGGCUGCCUGGUGUCUAGAUCUGAGGGGAGAACCAUUUCAAUAAGGUCUUGCCCACCUGGCACCGAGGCUGAAAGUUUGCUUUGUACUGCAGAGCUGGCUUCGCCAUCUUUUUCGCUAGGCCGUCUAUGCCCCCAGUCCCCCGUUUUGAAUUUGUAUUUAUGACUUUGUCAGAGGCAGUUGGCAGACAUGAAACCUGGGGUGGGACAUUCAGGAGUGAUCUUAGAAACCAGGGGGCACAGCUGCCAAGGCGUGCCACUCCAGCCCGGAGCUGCUGUUCGCCUGGCAUUGGCGGUGAUGGGUUUCCUAAUUAUAAAAAGCCCAAGUUCCGUCAAGCGUUGUCUGUAAAAUGUGGGAGACGCCUUCUCAGGUCCACAGAUGACCUGUAGCAUGCUGCAUGGGGCGCAGGGUGGUGUGGCAUUAUGCUUGGGCUGUUGGGUAACCCCCGGGAUUAAAACAGACCCUGAAACAAGGGGCAUCGGUUGCUCCCUCUCCACAGGCCUAUGGGCCAGACACUGGGAGCAGGGAAAGGCCUGAGCAUCUGAGGAAGCCCCCCUAGGGCCACUUGGAGGGGGGUGCUAGUCAUCAAAGAUCUGGAGGCCCACCUCCUGCCCCAAGGGUGCCCCUGGCACAAGGAAUGUGAUAGGGCUGAGAGUCCAUGGCAGACAGUGGGCCCUGCCCACAGACAGAGGUCCUGCCUUUGUCCUUGUCCUUAGAGCCAGCCCAGUUCCACUGGAGACUCCCCAUGGAGACUCGGGUCCUACCAGGGUUGUCUUCCUGCGUUGGGAUGUCUCAUCUGGGCAAAAUUUAUUUUUGAGGACACGCACAUGAGAGAUGAGGUUCUGAAAAUGAAACUGGCACCUGUCUGUUCUUUAUCACUCUGGAUUUAAUAGGAAGAAUGUGUUAAGCGGGGGCCAGGGCCUUAUGGACUGUGGUGAGCUGGCGGGAGGAUGGCCCUGGUGUUCCUGCUUUCUGUUUUAAACCAGAACCAACCCCAGGGAGGGCCCUGGCCUGUACUGAGGCUUCACCAUGCCCAGCCUCUGGCCACUUGAGGCCCCAGGUCCCCGGCCUCGUCGUCUUCGGGAUGCUGGGGAGGCCAGCAGCUCAGUGCAGGCCGUGUGUGGUGAUGAGGCCCCCACCGUGCCCGGGUCUGUAUGCCGCCUGAACACGUGCAGAUGGCAUUUUGCUUCGCUCAGAGGGAACAGCAGGGAGCUCUGCAGCCUGGUUCCUCUUGAGUACCUGUGGUUUGCACCUCGCUGGGGCCGAUCUCACAGGCUUGCAUCCUCAGAUGGGCGCUGGGGCCUGCUCCACCCUGGUGUGGCAGGCAGCCUGUGGGGCCGGGGAGGGGUAAAGGGCUUUGCCCACCCUGACAGGCACCCUGCGUGGGUGGGUGCUCCUUGGUGUGCAGGGAAAUGGACAUGUGCCCCCAGUGAGGGGCAGUGCUCAGGAAGGAGAGGAGGCCCCACAGGCCAGGCAGGCAGACAUUUUAAAACCAUCACACUUGGCUGAUGUUGGGCUGGGAGGGUGUAUUUGCAUGUUUGGGGAGGAUAGAGACUACCCUUGCAGAAUUCCCAUAAAGCCAGGGUGUCCUAGCUCACAUCUGGCGGCUCCGAUCCAGUCCCUGCCACUAGCUUGCCAUGUGGCCUUGGACAAGGCACAUUACCUCCCUGGAGUGUACCCCAAGCUCUAGAGCAGGAAUCAUAAUUCCGACCUCAGAGGGCCAUUGGGAAGGUUCAGACGACGUUAAUUCCACAAACCACGGUUUCUGGCACGUGGCGGGGACGCCGUAAAUGGCUGUCACCGUAAUUGUUUUUGUUGUAAAUGGUAAUCGCCAUUUUUAUUGCUAAUUAUUAUUACAUUUUCAAGUUUUUAAGAAACAGAGAGCCCAGUUUUGGUUUCACUAGACAGGACACCUGGGAGUUAACCUCCCCCUCCUUCCUCCACCCAGGUGGUAGCGAAAGUGAACCUUGGUAUUUUCAAGGCAGACUGUCAGGAGUUGCGAAGCCUGGGCCUUCCCUGUCACUUGGCUGAGAAGCGCUGGGUCCCCUUGGGGUCCCGGGAUGUGCUCACGGAGGAGAAACACCUUUUAGAAAUGGGCCCCCCCCCCCAGAAUGGCACUUGAGCUCACCUGGGUGCUGGCCCCUGGGAGUCUGACCAGGGACAGACCAGGGCUUGGGGGUCCAGAGUGGCCACGCCAGCCACGGUGUCCUUGUCCGCAACGCGGGUGGCAGUUUGGUGGGAGGAAUUUUCACCACUCUGACAAGCUAAUUGUUUUUUUGGCCCCAUACAAGCGUGCGUUUACCAAAACGCUUGCUUUGGGAGAAUUUUAUCUCUUAGCUGAUCAUCCAGGAAGACUCAGCAAGAUUGCCCUUUCUCAAAACAUCUUGUUGGAACAAGAAAGAACCCCAGAUGGCAUUGGCCAUGCUUUCUGAUGUUAUGGAGCCGAGGAGGGAGAAAAAGCAACAAUUGUCUCUGAGCAAAGACAAUGGACCUUUUAUAUGAAAUAUUUAUUUUCAGGGCCGACCAGUGUCCCGUUGGCUGGGACCGCAGAGCACCAGUGUCUGGGCAUCCCGGGCCCUGAGAACUCAGUCAGGGACGAGAUUUACAGAAAAGGAAAAAAGAAAGUCCCCUGACCUGCGGUUCUUGGGAAAUUUCGGUGGCAAUGUCUGGCUUUCUUUAUCGAAUGGAGUUUAAACUUUCGCAAGUUUAUUUUUUCUUCCCCUGUGAUUUCUUUUGAAGGGCCACAGGGGCGUGUUGGCAAGCACCGUAAAGGUAGCCGGGUUUCAGAUCGUGGGUUGCACGGGCCCUCCCUCCGGCCAGGCCCAGUUGGCCUUUGUCUGCUGGAGGGUCGCAGAAUGGAAGUGAGGGAAACUGGAACUAAGAGGAAGGGUCUGUCCCCAGGGCGUCGAGGGGAAGCCACCAAGAGCAAAUUCAGAUAGUAUUCAUAGUUCUCUGGUGUCCUUUACUCCUCCCCAAAACCCCUUCUUCCGUGAACUUGGGUUUGGCCAGCAGGUUAUCAGAGAGUCUGGCCUGACUUGGCAGUGCCUCACAUAGGCCCUCAAACACCGACGUCCUCGGCUGGGCAAACCGGGCCCAGAGUUCACGCUGGAUGGACGUUUUCUGAACUGAUAGAAUGAGCAGAAUUUUACUCCAAGGCCUCUUCGCGAGCCAGCUCCCUCUUCCCCGCUCUGCAGCUGCAGGCAGUGCCGGAGCUGCCGACCCCGUGUCUUUCUCCUCCAGUCCCAGCUGUGGCGCAGCCGGGAAGGCACCCUGGGAAGCCAGGCCCGGAUCCCAGGCUCACGCCAGGAACCCCGGGAGGAACUGAUCAGGCUGGGCUUGGAAUCGGAACAUCGGGGAACCAGUCCCAGUGCUGGGGGAACGUUGGGAAGGCCGCAGUGGACAGUCGGCCGCAGACCCCCACCAGUGUCUGGCUGGUGGAGGACAGAAGAGGGAGUGGCCCUGAUCAGGGUGGGUGAUGAGGGACCCCUCUCUGCCAAGCCUCCCCUUUAUCCAAAAGACUUUUGGCAAAUUGUAAUACCUGACUUGCAAAGGCUUUGUUUUUAAAAUUGCUGUUGCAUUGUUUUUUUUUAAUCCUGGAACCUCUUAGCUGUGGUCUGUUUCACCUUCUGCAUUAACUGCCUCCCCCCCCCGCAAAUGCUAUGAAGAGAGCCCUGUUUGCGGGGAGUGGGGUAACCAUGACAGCCUCCGAGGCCACGUGUAGAAUGAGUAAAAUUGAAAUGGAAAAGACCGAAAUCUCACAUCAUGAGGCAGAGCUAUCCUAAAACAUAAGCUUUUAUUUACUUUUUUUUUUUUUUUUUUUUUUGGAGAGGGGCUUCAAAAGUAAAAUGCCGCACAGUCUUACUGUGACAUUUUGGAUGGGAAACGUGUGUUUGAGUCCGGAUUCAGGAGUCUUGCCUUUAGGGACAGCGGCUCAGAACCGCGUGGAUAAAUAAAUCGAGCGCCUCAGCAAACGGCCGGGCUCACUGUUUAACCAGCGCCUGAGAGGUUUUCCGAGCAGAGGUGUUACCAGUAGAGGCGUUGGUUACUGUCGCCAAAUGAGAUUGGUAGUUGUGGUUGGAAAAGGUGUGCAUGGGACGUACAAAGGAAAUGCCAAAUUUUCUUUUCUUCCUUUUUUUUAGGAGUGACAGAAUUUUCCCUUAAGAUAAAAAAAGAGUGUUGUCCCGAUGCUUUUGGUUUCUAACGCCAGGGCUGGGUUCUUCUGUGAAUUGCCUUUCCUUAAUUCUAAGAUUUCAGAUGGUAGGAAGAGCAUUUAGCUGAAAUAUUUACCUGCUGAUUCGUGGCUCUUAAAUCUAGAUUCGCCUUUCAUGUGUUUAAGAGCGAUAUUUACAUUCAAAUCAGCCUUUUAUAAUUACAUUUUAAAUUAUAAUGAAAUGAUGGAGCCGGGAUUCAGUCUUCCAUGGGUUUAAACAGUAAGAGACCAGCCUGGUCUAGGCUCCCGAGCAGGCAUGAGCAGGCAUCCGACAUGCAGGUACUGGCCUGCAGGGCCACUUGGGUGUCCUGAGCAUGCCAGGGUCCGUGCGUGUUACCUGCAGGGCCCUCCCUGCCCUGCCUGGAGGAGAAGGGCUCGUGGAUGGAGAUUCUGGCCCCGGCACAGUGGCGAUGCUGCCAAACCUGACGGGACACUGUUCAUUCUAUCUGAGAAGGGCCUGAUUGAGGCCUGGCUGCCCCGCCGCCCUGGCUGAUGUGUUGUAUCCCCAGCCCCACGCCCGCCCCAGGCUGGGGGUGGAGGGCGCUCUCUCCUGGGCAGCCAGCUGGGCACAGCAGCAGCCACUUCUGGUGGUGAUGAUACUGGGGGGGGGGGGGCAUGCCCACCUCCUCCUGCAGCUGUAACUCAGCUUCUGCCUCAUCUCCCCUGUCAGGGUGGCCCCCAAAUGGCUCUGCAGUUUUCAGUGGCUUCCCCUACAGAGCAUGGGGGACCCUCUCCUCCCGGGGCCGGGCUGUUGGCAGCUGGGCCAAGCUGUUCCUGGAAUUGAAUUCCCGGUGUUCCUGGUCGGGCGCGUGGCAUCGGAAUCCUACCUGCUUUGUCUCUGGCAUCAGCUGGAGAGCUAGUCACAUGGCCGUGUGCGUGAGACCGGAGCCGAGGACAGAGGGCUCCUCCCGGGUGCUUCCUUCCCGCUCACUCACUCCCCCCGCCCCCUUCGCUUUGGUCAUGGCGGUCUCAGAGCAGGCAUAAAGCAGUAUUCAAGUAAAACGUGCUCCAGGCAGUGGGGGAGCUCCCAUCCAUGGAUGCGGAGGUGUCCAGGUACCCCAAUACCUCCAAUCAUUACAGACAGGAAGGACCAUGAGCCGGGGCCCGUGUGUGGACUCCGGCCGUGAUGGCCCGGCCUCGGUCACUCCACUCCGUCUCUUCUACUCCCAGAGCUGGCCCUGCCUGCCCGGGGGCCCUGCCCACACUCACACUCUUGUGGCUCACCCUGCACAGGUCAGUGGUCAUCGCCUCAGCUCCUGGCCACAGAAAAGGCCGAAGGAAAGACCUGGGCAAACAGGUUGGCCGUGUGGCCAUGGCUCAGUGCCCUCAGGAAAAGGCUGGGAGUCUGAUAAAUCUCCAACUAAAAAUGCCCACGUUGAACCUCAAGGCCACUGACCCAGGUCAGAGGGCUGGAGCUCCCGUCCAGCACAGGUCACCGUUCCUCCCCGCGGUGGGGAUUUGCCAUGGUGAAACUGGUGGAUCUGUGAUGACUGGAAGGGGUGUGGUGACCUGCCUGGAGCCUGACCUGAAGUCCUCGCCACGGCCUGGCUGUGUGCAUUUUUCAUUGUGUCAUCGCAGCAGCCCCAAGCGGUAGGAGCCAUGAUCCCUAUGGAUGGGGAAACUGUAGACAGAUGGGGAAACUGAGGCUGGGUUGGGUGGCGUGGCUUGCUGAGGGUUGGGUGGCUGGUCAGACACAGGGCCGGGUUCCAAGGGGCGGCCCGGCUCUCAGCCUGAAUGGUACGGCCUCCUGAGGUGUUGGCUAGAGUGGGCUCGCGCUGCGGGCCGGGACCAGUGAGGUGGGGGCCCUCGGCCCUGGGGUGCUGGCCGCUGCCCGCCCCUCGGGCGGGCGCAGCGUGGGAACAAUGUGGCCUCUAUCCCGGGAGCAGCCCGGCCAGGCAGGCCGCCCGCAACAUGGCGCCCAGGGCCGCGCCGCCUGUCCACGGGGAGGGCUGGCGCCUGGGCCCGGCCCGGCUCCCGGCGUCCUCCUCGGGCUGGCCGCUGAGUGGCCAGACGCUCUUGCUGCCUCCUCCCUCCCACUCGGCCGCCCCCCUCCCCGGUGGUGGGUUUGGGGGUCCGGCCCACCCGCCUCUGCCACGUCUGCCAUCCUCCCGGCACCCAUGAGCAUCUUUCAAAAAUUCCCGGUGGGCGGGGCCGAGCCGCAGCGGCCGCCUCUGGCCCCCCCUCCCCAGGCAGCCAGUGCCAGAUGAGAGCAGGAGACAAAAGUAGCAUUUUCCUCGUCCUCCUGGGCUGGCAGCAGGGCCUCCCCAGCGCCACUUGGCUCCUGGCAGCCCUGCCUCCGGGUGCCGGGGUGGCCGAGGCGCAUGCCGCGCCGGCCAGGACCCAGGGACCGGCGGCCGGCGGUGGCCAGAGAUCAGGCGCCCGAGGGCCUGUCGGACGGGGGCUGGCACCUGGGGACGGCCUGCUGGCCAGCGGGACCUGCCCUCCUCUGCUUGCGCCGGUGACCAGCCGGGCGAGGGACCCGGUUUUCACUGCCUUGCUUUUGCGGAGCUCCCCAUCCUCCUGCGCCCGGGGUCUUGCCCCUCCUUCCCGGCCACCUUGUUGCCCCACUGAUGCCUGGAGCUUGGAUGACUGCGCCUCCUCCAGGCCCUGCCCCAGCUCUGGACCUGGCCGCCUCCAUCAUAGAGCAGGGCGCCACUGUGCCUGAGGUCAAGAAGGGGCGCUGAGAUGGGAGCUUCUGUCUGAGGCCGGCCUUCCUCACGGUGAGCUGAGCGUUAGGGCCCCACCUGUAGGGGCACCUCACUGCCCGCCCCCUUCUCCCCAGCCCAGCCACAACCCACGGGCCGCCUCGCUCUCUGGCCUCCUGCAGGAGACAGGCCAGCCGGCUUCCUGCCCCUGGCCUCAGAGUUGCUGCACAACCACUCCCGCGGAAUGCCCAGGGGCUCUCACAUCUGGCACCUCGGCAUGCCCCUCCUACGUCCUGGCUCCAGGAAGCAGGGAGCCAUGGGCAGUUUAUCAUGGGGAGGGAUGUGAUCAGAUCUGUGUCCUUCCCUUUCAUCUCUGGGCCCCGCUGUCACACACAGAGGUCCUUAGAUGGUGGUACUAGUGCCAAACCUUUGCCCAGGCUUAAGCCGUCCACCUGAAGCCACGUCUCCCCUUGUCCUCCUGCCACUGCUCAGCAGCAAACUCUCCCAGGUGGCUCACCUCACCUGCCCACAACACACUUGUGACCUUUGAGCUGUUGGUCUCUGAAGGCUCUCUGGCCACAGUCUGUCCCAGCAUCUGGAUGGAAGAGGAGCGCGGCCCCAUCUCACUCUGCCCAGCGAGGACUCCCCGCCGGCCUCACCCUGCACCCUUCUCGCCGCCCAGCCAUGCAUCAGCCCUCAAGUGUGGUCCUGAUAACACAGGCUGCCUGCCAUCCACCUGAGACGCACACGGUGAGUCUGGCCUGGAACAAGAAAGGCCAGAUGAGGGGACCAGGCACACCUGCUCCUCCCAGGCCGGGCUGGCGGCUUGGGGGCUUGCAGUGGCUGCGGGGGUGGACCAGGGUGUGUGUGCACGCACGUCUCCCUCUCUCCCCACGCCUUUCCUUGUCCCUUGGAGCCUAGCCUGGAGGCCAGCCCGUUGUGUGGCCCGUGGCCCCCAUCUCGGGCCGGGGCCCUCCUACGGGCAGCCGUGCAGGCACUGGAGCUGAAGCCCGGCCCCAGGGAGGACGAGCAGACGCAGGCCGCAGUGCAGGGGCUGUCAGAGUCCAAGCGCUGGGGCAUACGUGGAUUCUAGCUCGGGGUUAGUUAAGGUGGCCUGGCUGCAGGGCAGCUGCUGCAUCGACCCCAUAUCUGAGUGAGGAAAUCAGGCCCCACGAGGGCAUAAGAGGUGCCCGGAGAAGCCGAGCAAGGAGGCCACCUGGUCCAGCAGCCAGCUCCACCUGCUGGGCUGGCCUGCCUCAUACUGGGGCCGUGGUCAGAACCAGAUGGUCCCUGCAGCCUGAGAGCAUUGCAGUCUCGGGGGCUAAGUCAGGAGCCCAGAGCAUGCGCUCAGGGUGCCUCCCCUAGAGUCACUCUGAGACGUUUGGUGGAGCCCUGAGCUGGGCACCAGAUUCUUGGUCUGUUUCUUCCCCAGUGAUGAAGCCAGCGGCAGCCAGUCACCCCGCAGGGCAGCUGGGCAGGCAUCAGGCUACCUCUGCACAGAGCUAGGCUCUCCCCACCCGGACCACUCAUCAUUGCUGGGGGUGGGGAGAGUAUGUCAGAGGAAGACCCUUGGUCACUCUUCCCUCAACCCCAUCCCUAGAGGCUGGCUGGCUCUGCGUGGAGAGUCCUUGGGGACCUCCUGGUCCUGUUCACCGGCCAGGGAGUCCAAGUAGAAGCAGGAGAGCGGGACCCCGAGACCCUCUCAUGCAGAUUUCCCUCUGGGACCAUGAGGGAGACAGGCUGCCCAUGACCACGGGUUCCUGGGGGGCCAGGCUGUGUGGGGCACUGCUGGCUCCACUCCCAGGUGACUGCCCCGUGUUUCCCACUCUGGGUGGACCUGAUGUCCUCCUCACUGGCUGAGGGUUCUGGGACUCAUUCCAGGGUUUUUCAGGGAGCAGCAGCUGCCCUGAUUAUUGGGACUGGGCCUGAGGCCGCCCUCUGCAGUCGUGCGCACAGGCCAAGCUGGGAGAACCUAAGAGCAAGGCCCAUCUGAGGCUCAGUUUCCUCACUAUGGAAUGGGAUCAGUGAUCCUAGCUUCCCCAGGCCUAUGAGGACCUGGAGGAGGCAGCCUGCUAGGAGGAGGUGUGGGGUGUCGGAGAGCUCAGAGCUCUCGUACCAUCUUACCAGGCAGAAAGCAGAAGGAUCACUCUGCUCAGCUGCCUGUCAGCUGUGUGACCUUGUGAAGGUCCUGCUGCCUGUCUGGGCCUCAGGCACGGGCACUGGGCCUGUGUGUCCCUCCAGGGUCUGGCUCAGCCACCCUUUCCUGGGAGCCAGGUUCCCUUUAGGAAGGAAGGAACAACAUUCUGUAGCCUUUCCCAAGACGAGGGACGCCCAGGUCACCCUGGGUGGCAGGACCAGACCAGCCAGAACCCACCAGGAGGGGGUCCCCAUCCGUCCAGUGGGUGGAGGGAGCAGGCCUCAAGACCACGGGAUGUUCUGGGGCAGCAGGGAAACUGUGCUGUCAGAGGGCAGGGACCAGGUGGGCACUCGUGGCCCCUUUGGACACAUGUUGGCCUCCAACAAAAGACAGUCUUCCUCCCAGUGUCACCAGGGCAGAAGUCCCUCAGGGACGUCAUGGCCACUCCUGUCCAGACGGGAGUGAUCCAGUUGCCUGUAACGUUCUCCCAGAAGCCACGCUGCCCUUCUGCCUGCCUCCCUCCCCCUCCCCUCUGCUUCCUUUUCCCUUUCUGGGUGAUGGCUUUCUCCUGGGGGGCUGCUCCUGGGGAGUUCGGGGCUGUGCAGGCCCUCCACUGACUCGCCUGCCAGAGUCCCCGGGCCAACCCCAACCCCCGGCUCCCUGCAGCUCCCCUCCUCCCUCCAGGAGGUACCUCCGGAAGUCACGAAGCCCCUCGCGGCGCCGAGACUGACGGCCCUUUGGGGUGAGGUAGUAGGUUGUAUAGUUUGGGGCCCUGCCCUGCUAUGGGAUAACUAUGCAACCUACUGUCUUUCCUGAAGUGGCCGUAAUGCCGACAGCGGACGGCGCCAGGGCCCGGCUGGGCGGGGCCGGGGGCACAGUGGCUGCCGUGAAGUAAGAAAUCUGACUGGCCUGGAUUCCCACUUGCUGUGUGGCCUGCGGCAGGCCCCCUGACCUCUCUGGGCUUCAGUUUCCUGGUCUGUGAAAUAGGACAAGUGAGGCUUGAGGGAAAUACUGGGUGAAGUAUCCCAGGAGGGCAGGACUCAGAGUUGACCUCUCUCCCCACGCUGUGCUGAGAGCUGAUGGGUCCGACGGGCAGUUUGUGCGGCCCGGCCCCGUCCCCUGAGCCAGGCUCGUGGGCAGCCCCCGGUCUGGACUGUGCCCUCAGCUGCAUCCCUGUGGCCGGCCCUGGACCCCAGGAGGAGGGGUGCCAGCUGAGACUUCACUAGGGUGGCCGGACGGGAGGUGGGAGAGAAGAGUUACUCGGACACAGCCUGGCCCCUGAUGGGUACAGACCCGCUCCAUCGCCAACAACCUCAGGUAGACGGUGUGGGAAACAAGGUGCCGGCUGCAUCUUCCCUUCUGCCCUGUGCUGCCCAGCCCUCCGGCUUGGCUCUGGUGGCUGCGGACCACCCGGCAAGGCCGGGGCCGAGCGCGGGGCAGCCGCGGGGACGGCGGGCCCUCCCACAGCCCGGGUGCCGGCGGGGUGAGGUAGUAGGUUGUGUGGUUUCAGGGCAGUGAUGUUGCCCCCUCGGAAGAUAACUAUACAACCUACUGCCUUCCCUGAGGCGCCCAGCCGCGGCCCCACGGGAGGGCCCGCCCCCACGCUCGGCAGGUGACUCGGGGGCCUGAGCCCCAGGCCAGGUGGGCGGGAGGCUGCCCACCUUGAUCUCAAUAAAAGCUGUUCUGACGUCAA